rnacentral:rRNA from 1 species
CGGCAGGCUUAACACAUGCAAGCGAGGGGCAGCACGGGUAGCAAUACCUGGUGGCGACCGGCGCAAGGGUGCGUAACGCGUGAGCAACAUGCCCUAUACAGGGGGAUAAUCCAGGGAAACUUGGUCUAAUAUCCCAUAGUAUUUAGAGGAGGCAUCUUCUAUAAAUUAAAGCUUCGGUGGUAUAGGAUUGGCUCGCGUGACAUUAGCUAGAUGGUGAGGUAACGGCUCACCAUGGCAAUGAUGUCUAGGGGUUCUGAGAGGAAGGCCCCCCACACUGGGACUGAGACACGGCCCAGACUCCUACGGGAGGCAGCAGUGAGGAAUAUUGGACAAUGGAUGGAAAUCUGAUCCAGCCAUGCCGCGUGCAGGAAGACAGCCCUAUGGGUUGUAAACUGCUUUUAUAUGGGAGCAAUAAGGUCUACGUGUAGACUGAUGAGAGUACCAUAUGAAUAAGCAUCGGCUAACUCCGUG